GCGAGAAAGAAGUGGUUUUGAGUUGUACUUUAACGAUUUUUCUCUUUGCACAGCAUGAAAUUAAUAACAUCUACAUGUCCAAGUUUGAUUGAGUUAACGGAAUUAUUGUACGGCGGCCGCGCGGCCAGGCAUCAUCUUUGUCCUCCAGCUUUGUCCGCAUGCGUGAAAUUUCCUUAUGUAAACAAUAACAUGGUAUAUAUUUGUAAAUCUGAUUAUGAUUAAGUCAGUUCCUCACCAGCUAUGAACCUCAAGAAGCAGGACAGGAAAAAGUCAUUUUUCUCUCUCCUUUAAAAGUCUAGACUUACAUAAUUUCACUUUAAAAAAUCUGGAGUUGAACCUUUUAUUCUCCCUUUGCAGGUUUUCAGCGAAUGGUGAAAAAUCUCGUCUAAGCGGCUGAGCGAAAAUCAAACCGUAACGGCAGAACAUGCAGAGCCGCCGUCCGCGGCCUCUCAAUCACCCGCGGCUGGCAGGGGGAGCCUCGCCCUCGGCUUGUGAUCCCUGUAAUGGAAUAUGGUGUAUAAUCGAGAGGAGAGCUGCUGAGUUAAUGAAAAGGGUGGAGAGGUGACAUUUUCUGAGGGACGUCUGAAGGAGGGUGACAUUUACAAAGAAGAAGCCCCAAAGACGGACCGCUUUUUCAUAAGUUGGAGGAAUGCGAAGCUGAUUUCUGCACGACUCCGACGUGAAAUCCCCAAUUCAGAGCCGACAUGGAUUUCUGAUAAUGAGGUGGGAGAGGAGAGGAUCGAGGUGCAACUGGCUUCUCUGGUGAUGGCAGCCAAACAGCUAUAAAAUCAGACCUUUGUUAUGUCAAGUUGUAGGUGGAGUCUGAACAGUCGAUCAAGCUUCGCCGAUGACAGCUGGACAACAGCAAAUAUUUCAGCGACAUUAAUAAAAUCUUUCAUUUUCA